rnacentral:rRNA from 1 species
UACAGAGGUCUCAAGCGUUGUUCGGAUUCAUUGGGCGUAAAGGGUGCGUAGGCGGCGCGGUAAGUCGGGUGUGAAAUCUCGGAGCUUAACUCCGAAACUGCAUUUGAUACUGCCGUGCUUGAGGACUGGAGAGGAGACUGGAAUUUACGGUGUAGCGGUGAAAUGCGCAGAUAUCAGGAGGAACACCGGUGGCGAAGGCGGGUCUCUGGGCCGAUACUGACGCUGAGGAGCGAAAGCGUGGGGAGCGAACAGG